GAAUAGCCAACCCGGAAGAAGUGACCUCGCCCACCGGAACAGCCCCCCCCCCCCCUCUGCCAGGUUAAACACGGCAUCAUGGCGACGGUAGAAUAAACUAAACUAUGAGCAAAUGUUCAAGGCAGCAACGUUACAUUAACAGAGAAAUAUGGCGAGCGAAUAGAAACAGUCCUGGUUUAAACAGCCGGGACAUUUAUUCCGCUGAGUCAUCAUGGCGAACAGACAGUAAUGGCUCCGUGUUUGAUCCAGUUUAGCUGUUAGUCUGAAAUAGUUACAAAAAAGCUCAGGAGGCGGAAGUCUGGUGGAUACGAAGACCUCAGGGAAUCAACAGGAUCCGAUAAAUGUGGAGCACGGCUGGUUUUCAGUCUAAAGGAAAUUCUGUUUUUACGGACCAAGAUGGCGGCGGAUGUCAUCAACAAAGGAGCAAAAUCCAGAACAUGACUUCCAGUUUUCACUCAGCAACUGUUUGGUUCAGGAAAAAGGAUUCAGUCCCCAUAGCAACCGGCGGCGCCUCCUGCAGAGGGAAACGAGCGGCUCUGAGACGUACGCCGAUGUUUAGAGCGUCUGUCAACACAAUCAUUGAUGCAUUUCACUUCAGAGAAACGUCUCCACCUGUUUCCCUCUGUUUCCGCUGACAGGGAGCCUUGAGAUGAGUUCUGCAGAUUGAUGAUUCUGGGUUCAGCCCGGUUCCCUCCAACCUGUUGACUUCAGGUGAGGUUCAGCCAGCCGCCAUGUUCCUCCACAUCAACCAGGCAGAGUGUGACACACACAUACACACACCCAGCGGCGGAACCGAUUGAACCGGACCCGUCGAGCCAGAAAUGCAUCCAGAAAGCUCAGCGGCCCUGAAGGAGCGCCGCGGCGUUGGGGCGGUCCGCUGACAGCCGUUUGGACUCUCCUGAUUAUCUGGACUGACAGUUGACCUUCAGCUGAGCGGCUGCUGCUCUGGUCCAGGCCGGUGUUUGGUUUUCCUGGGAUGAUGGCCUGAUAAUCCUCUCCUCGGUAACAGUGGUCGGCUCCAGGUUAUCUUCAUUUAAGCCUCCAGUUAAUAAUACUUGACAUUUAGUGAAGAAAAGCGUCGAGUGUUGGGAGUUCAGACGUUGUGUGUCUGAAUCAAUCGUCUCGGUUUCUGAACCUGCUGCUGACUGGAGGAGUUUCGUGUUUUAGUUUAUU